CCUACGGGUGGCAGCAGUGGGGAAUAUUGCACAAUGGGGGAAACCCUGAUGCAGCGACGCCGCGUGAGUGAAGAAGUAUUUCGGUAUGUAAAGCUCUAUCAGCAGGGAAGAAAAUGACGGUACUUGACCAAGAAGCCCCGGCUAACUACGUGCCAGUAGCCGCGGUAAUACGUAGGGGGCAAGCGUUAUCCGGAUUUUAUGGGUGUAAAGGGAGUGUAGAUGGGUAUGCAAGUCAGAAGUGAAAGCCCGGGGCUCAACUCCGGGACUGCUUAUGAGACUGUGUGACUGGAGUGCAGGAGAGGUAAGCGGAAUUCCUGGUGUAGCGGUGAAAUGCGUAGAUAUCAGGAAGAACACCAGUGGCGAAGGCAGCUUACUGGACUGUAACUGACGUUGAGGCUCGAAAGCGUGGGGAGCAAACAGGAUUAGAUACCCCAGUAGUC
rnacentral:rRNA from 1 species